UACGAAGGGGGCUAGCGUUGUUCGGAAUCACUGGGCGUAAAGCGCACGUAGGCGGAUUGGUAAGUCGGGGGUGAAAUCCUGAGGCUCAACCUCAGAACUGCCUUCGAUACUGGCGAUCUUGAGUCCGGAAGAGGUUGGUGGAACAGCUAGUGUAGAGGUGAAAUUCGUAGAUAUUAGCUAGAACACCAGUGGCGAAGGCGGCCAACUGGUCCGGAACUGACGCUGAGGUGCGAAAGCGUGGGGAGCAAACAGG
rnacentral:rRNA from 1 species